rfam:Oryza glumipatula chromosome 3, whole genome shotgun sequence.
AAUAAGUGUAGUUUUGUACUAUUCAUCUUCAACGUUUGACCGUUCGUCUUAUUUGAAAUUUUUUAUGUUUACUAUUUUUAUUGUUAUUAGAUGAUAAAACAUGAAUAGUACUUUAUAUGUGACUAAUUUUUUAAAAAAAUUUUCAUAAAUUUUUCAAAUAAGACGGACGGUCAAACGUUGGAUACGGAUUUCGACGACUGCACUUAUU